rnacentral:lncRNA from 1 species
AAAGCUUAGGCGCGGCUUGAGCCAAAAGCUAGAGGAGAAAAUGCAUUAUUCACAAAACUUACAAAGUUACAAUGUGGUUCACUUAUUUAUACAUUGUAAAUGAUAAGCUUUAGAUCUAACUAACUAACUAUUGGUUGCAAGGAAACUAACUAGCAACUAAUCCUAACCAUCUUUGGGACAAAGUAGUUAUGGAAGUUAGAUGACUUGUGAAGCAAGUAAUCUCUUCACUCCUUCUUGCCCUUCAGCUUUAACGAACAACCAUCCACUCUCAAUUAAAAUCCUAAAUUUUGAGUUAACAUCCAAAACAAGAGUCAAUCUGCAUAAAUAAUAAAAUCAUACCCACCCAAUUAGAAUUCUAAACUUUACUAUAAACAUCAUGUCAUGAUUCAACUUCUGAGUGGCAUAGGCGCAUACAUGCAAACCCUCUCCCACCAUAAAACAACUAUUAUGAAUGAAGAUUCAAAACUUCAACCUCUCCUGCUACCAGUGCAAGGUUUUAGAACCAACUUUGAAACCUUUAGCUAAUGCAAGUACAAUGGAGAACUCAAGCUUAUUUCAUAUGGUCCCAGUCCUUUCCUGUUUUUGCAGAAAUGCAUAACUUAUUCUGUCUUAGAUUCAUGUCAAUGCCAUAUCGAUCAAUUCAUCUAUCCACUCAUCACCAACAAACAGUCCUUCUCACACAUAAGGCACUCUUCCAUAUAAAGGUCAGUGUAACACGCGCAAGUAGAAAAAUAUCAAACAAUGCUUGAAAACAAAAUCAGCAUAAAUGUCUUUGAAAUGGUGUAAACAAAAUCAGACCAAGAACAAAAUCCAUUAUCUUAUGUAUAUAGUUUUUGUAGAAAUGUUUUUAGGCUUCAAAUACACAGAUAAUUAAGUUUAAUC